rnacentral:rRNA from 1 species
GACGAACGCUGGCGGCGUGCUUAACACAUGCAAGUCGAACGAAAAGCGCUGGACUCUUGCUUCUCGCGAUCUUAGUGCCUGACGAGUGGGUAACGCGUAAUCAACCUGCCCUUCAGAGGGGUACAACAGUCGGAAACUACUGCUAAUACCACAUACGAUCCCACCUCGGCAUCGCGGAUGUAUAAAAGGUGGCCUCUAUUUAUAAGCUCUCACUGAAGGAGGGGAUUUCGUCUGAUUAGCUAGGUGGUGGGGUACCUGCGAACCAAGGCAAGGAACAGUAGCAGGCCUGAGAGGAUGAAAGGCCACAUUGGGACGGGGACACGGCCCAGAAUCCUACGGGAGGGAGCAGGGGGGAACUCUUCGCAAUGGACGAAAUGCUGAAGGAGCAACGCCGCGUGAGAGAUUGAUGCAUUCGGGUUGUGAAGCUCUGUUAAGCGGGACGAAAGGACUUCUUGCGAAUAGUUAGAAGAAUUGACGGUACCGGAAGAGAAAGCCACGGCUAACUACGUG